rnacentral:rRNA from 1 species
AACGAACGCUGGCGGCAUGCCUAACACAUGCAAGUCGAACGAGACCUUCGGGUCUAGUGGCGCACGGGUGCGUAACGCGUGGGAACCUGCCCUUAGGUUCGGAAUAACUCCCCGAAAGGGGUGCUAAUACCGGAUAAUGUCUUCGGACCAAAGAUUUAUCGCCUUUGGAUGGGCCCGCGUUGGAUUAGCUAGUUGGUAGGGUAAAAGCCUACCAAGGCGACGAUCCAUAGCUGGUCUGAGAGGAUGAUCAGCCACACUGGGACUGAGACACGGCCCAGACUCCUACGGGAGGCAGCAGUGGGGAAUAUUGGACAAUGGGCGAAAGCCUGAUCCAGCAAGGCCGCGUGAGUGAUGAAGGCCUUAGGGUUGUAAAGCGCUUUUACCCGGGAUGAUAAUGACAGUACCGGGAGAAUAAGCUCCGGCUAACUCCGU